GGCGCACAUGUGCUCACAUCAGGACAUAUCCCCCUAUCCCUCACCUCUGUAUCCAAUCACUCACAACCCCUUGUUCCCUCCUGGAGCAGAUAGGAAAAUAGAUAAGCAAUAUCAUAACUCACAAUACUUGUCAGUGGAGGCAGUAAUUGAAGGGAAUGAAAUCAAACCUUUACACAAAUUGUUACCGGAGACUGAUAUCACAGCAAUGCAAAUGUUUUCAUACAUUUAAAUGGUACACUUUUUAAAGAA